rnacentral:rRNA from 1 species
AUUGAACGCUGGCGGCAGGCUUAACACAUGCAAGUCGAGCGAGCGGCGGACGGGUGAGUAAUGUCUGGGAAACUGCCUGAUGGAGGGGGCUAAAUACUGGAAACGGUAGCUAAUACCGCAUACCAUCAGAUGUGCCCAGAUGGGAUUAGCUAGUAGGUGGGGUAAUGGCUCACCUAGGCGAAGAUACCUAGCUGGUCUGUGUGGAUGACCAUCCAACAUGGAACUGGGACACGGUCCAGACGCCUAAGGUAGGCAGCAGUGGGGAUUAUUGCACAAUGGGCGCAAGCCUGAUGCAGCCAUGCCGCGUGUGUGAAGAAGGCCUUCGGGUUGUAAAGCACUUUCAGCGAGGAGGCGUUACUCGCAGAAGAAGCACCGGCUAACUCCGUGCCAGCAGCCGCGGUAAUUC